rnacentral:rRNA from 1 species
AACGCGAAGAACCUUACCAAGGCUUGACAUGGACCGGAUCGCCGCAGAAAUGUGGUUUCUCCUUUUGGGGCCGGUUCACAGGUGGUGCAUGGUUGUCGUCAGCUCGUGUCGUGAGAUGUUGGGUUAAGUCCCGCAACGAGCGCAACCCUCGUUCCAUGUUGCCAGCACGCGAUGGUGGGGACUCAUGGGAGACUGCCGGGGUCAACUCGGAGGAAGGUGGGGACGACGUCAAAUCAUCAUGCCCCUUAUGUCUUGGGCUUCACGCAUGCUACAAUGGCCGGUACAAAGGGUUGCGAUACUGUGAGGUGGAGCUAAUCCCAAAAAGCCGGUCUCAGUUCGGAUUGGGGUCUGCAACUCGACCCCAUGAAGUCGGAGUCGCUAGUAAUCGCAGAUCAGCAACGCUGCGGUGAAUACGUUCCCGGGCCUUGUACACACCGA